rnacentral:lncRNA from 1 species
AUUGGACCAAGUGUAAUGUACCGAAUUUUAAUAUAAGAGUAAAUAUAAAUAAAAAUAGUAUGAGAUACUAUUUUUAUUGGAUUUAGAGAAGUAAAAUAUAAGUCGGAAACGACUUGUGCUGAAAUCGGAAUGAAAACAAAAGAUUUAGAAUUUUCUGUGAGAAACGGGGCUGAUAUUUUAGCAGAAAAUGCACAAUGUCAGAAAAUUAUGAAAACUUGGAAAUAUGUUGGGAUUAUUUUUAUGAGACUAGGUUUAAAGUUUCAUGUCAAUCCGACACCUGAAAGGUAAAAAAGAAAAUCCGACUGUUAUCUGCUAGAGAUUACAGUUCGGUAGAGCUUUCGAUGACCAAAUAUGGUCCAAACUGAAAAAUUAAAAUACAUUCCGUUUAUUUGGCAAAAACCAAGUCUGACUGUCAAAUUUGAGCGAAAACGAACAUUCAGAAAGACCGGCGAAAAGUAUCUGUACCCGAGCUGCUAAACUGCUAAUGUGAAUAGUUUGUAUAAAAGGGGUUUUUUUUCCCCUUUUCUCCUCCUUCCUCCCACAGCCGACCACCACCACCACCAUCACACGUAUGGAGAGGAAGAGACAAACCUCCUUUCUCUCUCUAGAUAUCUCUCUCCUCUCUCUAGGUUUCUCUCCCAAAGUUGGGAUUUUAGAGGAGAUGAUGUUGGAGAUGAAGUUGGAGCUCUCCAAUGGUGAAGCAAACUUUCCAAUGGUGGAUUUAGCUUGAUGAGCAUGGUGGCCUGAGGUGAGAUCUCAUGAUUUAAGCUAGGAUUUCAAUUAAAUCCUUUAUGUAUAAGGUUCUAGUAGCCCCUAAUUUGAUGUUAGCAUGUUUCCUCCAUUUAAUUUGGGUUAAUUGGAGAAUAGGUUCAUGCUAGGAUUUGAAUGAGGGUUUUGGAAAUUAGAGGGUUUUGAUCUGUAAUAACCCUAUUGUUCUCUAAUUGAAGGUUAGAGAUGAGCCAUUGAAGACCCUAGGUUGCGGAAUGUUGGGUGUUCGAUUGCCGAUUUCGAGUUGGAGCCAAACCGGGUCACGUGUGCCGCGGGAACCCGAUUGCAAGUGACUACAAGCAAUCGGAGAGCGAUAUUAGAUGGGUUGUGCUCUACCGAAGCGAUUAGGUCGCUUCCAUGCCAAAGUGGUGUAUGUCUCAUUAUUGAUGCUUGAAGUAGUAGUUAAUUACCAAGUGAAUAAUGCAUGAACUAGAUGCUAAAUACAUGAGCUAGUUGCUAACUAAAUAACGUGAGCUAGAUGCUAAGGAAUGUAUAGAGUAUAUGUUGAAUGAAUGCAUAAGACAUAUGUUAGAAAAAAAUGCAUGACCAAGAUGCUAAGUAACAUGUAUGACAUAGAUGUUAUAUAAAUGCAUGAUAGAGAUGCUAAUAAUAAAUGCAUAUGAUAUAUGCUAGUCAAGAAUGCAUGAGGUAUAUUGUUUACCCUUGAAUGAUAAAGACAUCGGCAUGAGUAAGCAUAUGAGAUAUGUUUGCCUAGAUAUGAAUGUGAACUAAAAUCGAUAAACUCUAAGUAGAGUAAAGAACUCGGCAAGUAUAGCUUGUAAACUAAGAAUCCUAAGUAUAAAUAAUAAGGACAAGAGUGGCAAUAAAAACUAGUGUCAUUGAACAUAGGUGAUUCAUGAGUGGCAUGUAAAGUAUAAUUCCUAGGUGUGGACAACUAGGAAAAUAAGAACACGAGUGGCAUUAAACCUAAUGUAUUAAAUAUAGGUUGAGAAUUGAACCUAGAGUCAAGUAAACCUAGGUUAUGAAUAUAGCGACAUUGAACCUAGAGUCAAGUAAACCUAGGUUAUGACAUGAGUGACAUCGAACCUAGAGUCAAAUGAACCUAGGUGAUAAAGAAUAGUGGACCUAGUGCUAAUGAACCUAGGCUAUGGGUAUAGUGGCAUUGAACCUAAUGUAUUAAACUUAGGUUGAAUAAUGGCUUGGACCUAGAUAGGUCGACACUAUAGGGUUUAAGACCAACCCUAGAGAUAUGAAUGUGGAUUCCGGAAUCCCUAGGAAUGAAGGCUGCUAGUGCAGCGGAUAAGACUUGCGACUGAGCGCAAGUGAAUCAAGACUGUGGGUAUGUUGGUUCUCCUCGCCCGACAGUGAUUCAACGGGUAUGUUGGUUCUCCUCACCCGGUAUGUGGAAUGGCAAAUGAGAAUCAUAACUGCGGGUACGUUGGUUCUCCUCGCCCGGCAGUGAUUCAAUGGGUAUGUUGGUUCUCCUCGCCCGGUAUGCCAUGAGAAUAGGGACGCUGGUAUGUUGGUUCUCCUCACCCGUAGGUCCAUUAAGCCACUUGUAAUCCGGGGUUCGAUGGUGUAUCCUCACCCUGUGAGUAGACCUAUAGUUGAGAGGAUUUAAGGCUGAGGUGCAUGUGAGACUUCCUUCGCCUCGAACCUGAUAGAGCGCGGACUAUCCGCAGUUGAUUGACUCAAGACCGAGUCGAGUGGCAUAGUUUGCUAAGGUGAAGUGACCUUACGAAAGUAUGAUAAAGAAUAAAGAACGGCUAAUGCUAAAGAAUCGUAAGUAAUAAAGAAUGGCCAAGAGUCAAGAAUGGCUAAGAAUCAAAAAUGGCUAAGCAUAAAGAAUGGCUAGCGUUAAAGAACGGCUAGUGUUAAAGAAUGGCUAAUAAUAAUGAAUGGUAAGAUAGAGAGUAGAGUCAUUUAAUCAACUUGCAUGAGUUGCAUGAUUUGCAUAUUGCAUAUUGUGAGGCAUGAAUAUGAUAAAUGUUAGUUGCAUAAAUUAUAUAUGCCACGCCCCGACACCCGCCUAUUUGGUCAGAUUUGGGCACGCCGACAGACCGCCGAACGGACAAAGUUUUUCCUGUACGUCCUAGGCGUCACAAUCAAUACAAUUCACGAUGUUCCAACCAGGAACAGAAAUCAACAUACAGAUUGCAUAUGGAAAGGUAUCAACAACAUAAACACAUCCUAUGUUAUUGCAAGCAUUCACAUUGAUACAUUUGCUUACAUCACAAUUACACUUUCUCCAACAUACAAUCUGAGUUAUUACACAUUUGAUACAUCUUGUUCUUUCAUUUCCCUCUACCCCUAGGUUAUACCGACUCGGGGUACCACUAUCUCUGGUCUCUAGGUAGGGCGCUAUCUACGGAGCUACGCCCUUGCCUCACGCCGCCGCGCCGCUCACGUGUAAACCUGCAACACCCCAAAACAACGUGGGGUGAGAACCAACUCCAUGGUUCCCAGUGGAUACGGCCACCCAAGGGAAAAGCUCGACCAAUAGGUUCAAGGAGGCACUGCAACAAGUUAGUCCAAUAACAUAUAACAGAUAUAUAUUCGAUAUUGAACUAAAUGUCAUGCCUCGCAAAAUGCGAUAUGCAAUACCUGUAACUUUAUGCAAGUAGAUUAAUUGAUUCUACUUCAUAUUAUUAACCAUUUUUUACUUGUAGCCGUUCUUUACUUUAUUAGUUAUUCUUUAUCAUUAGCUUUUCUCUAGUCUUUACUUGGUCACAUAACGCUCAUUGGCGAUUCUUUCCUAAGGUUGCUCAUACCUUAGCCAUCUAUGCCACUCGACUCGGUAUCGGUCUUGAAGUCAAUCUCUGCGGAUAGUUCGCACACUGGCUGCUCAACAGCCCAUCGCACUGCGAUGACUCGGCCACCGGCGGCGAAAUCGUCGCACACCGCUCAGCUCUGGCUCAAGUCACCCUGCGGUAUUGACCACAAACAUGGCUCAACCAUCCGGCAGCGAAAUCGUCGCCACAGCCACGACAAAUGGUUCUUUAGCCCCGCGGCGAAAUCGUCGCACACACCCACACCACUCUUGGUUCCACAAGUCCGGAUUCCAGGAUCAUUUCACAGUACUCACGGGUUGUCUAACCCUAUGGAAUUGACCUAUCUAGGUCAAACCUUUACUCACCUAAGUUAUAUACUUUAGGUUCAUUGCUUUUCAUACUCUUAGCUAGGUUUCAAGCACUAGUCCAUUUAUUCUCGUCUACCUAGAUUCACUUGACUCUAGGUCUUACCUUUACCUCACAACCUAUAUUCUCUAAACAUUAGUUUAAUGCCUUUCUCGUUAACCUAUUUUCAUUAACACUAGGUCAUUAUCACUCUGUUCAACCUAGUUCACGACUUAGGUUCAAUGCCACUCGAUCUAUAUGUAUAACAUAUGUCCUUUACUCCUAGUUCACAAGACUCUAGUUCAAUGCCACUCGAUCCUAUAUGUAUACAUAUGUCCUUUACUUAGCAUUCUUACAUUAGCAUCUCUACGCAUGCAACAUGUCUAACAUAUGUCAUUUAUGCAAUUACUUACAAUUCUUACAUUAUGACCAUAUGCAUUAUUUACACUAUGUCAUUAUGCAUCAUUUGGUAGCCUAAUUUAGCAUUCAUCUCAUGCAUACACAUGCUCUAUCAAUAGCUACCAUUACAUGCAUCAAUGAUAAACAUUUAAUAGACAUACAGGCGACCAUAGUCGCUUUGGUAAAACACAACCCACCUGUAUCGCGUUCCGAUUUGCUUGUCGACACUUGCAAUCGCCUCCGCGGCCCGUAUCCGCACGGCCCAAAUAUUGCAACUGCGUCACAACCGUGCUCCGCUUCGCAGCCCCUGAAAUUAUAGGUCUUCGGUUAUGUGCCCCGGCGCUCCAAUCAUUUCCACCGAUUUUACGACAUCGCCUCGGCCCUCCAGGCGGAAACGAAGCUAAAUCAUCAGUUCUUCAAUAUCUUUCGUAACGGCUCGACGAUUGCCAAACGACUUCGCCAACAAUGUUUCGUUUACCUAUCCAAUUGUUUAUGAAGGGUUAAAUGAGAUCAAACCCUUAUAUUUACAAAAAUCCCAUUUCGGACCCUAGAUUUGCGCAACUAUUGCAAUAACCAUUAGAGCUUUGGAUUCAAGCUUCAUAAACCUUAGCAUACUAGGUUUCAAUUAAAUCCUUCUAGAGAUCAAAUCCAUAAUCUAGAAGGUUAUAUUAAAGCCCGUAAGAGCUUACCUCUCUAGGUUUGCUCAAGGUGAGAGAAGAUGAUGGAGGGGAAGCUCUCCACUUGCUCCACCUUCUUUUCCCUUUCUUCUUCUUCUUUCUCUUCUUCUUCUCUCUUGCUCCUUUCCUUUCUAGAGAGAGAGAGGGAGAGUUUGCGGUGAUAGAGAGUUUUGGGUGAGGGAAAGAGAGAAAAGAGGUUCUAACCUCUCUAUACACUUAACCAUGCAACAAUUGCACAUAAGCCCUCUAACAAUGCUCCUAUGCAACAGCCGAACUGGGCAUUUUCGGGUCUCUGGAGCCGGUCCCAGGCAUGAGAGACCGGUCCCGAAGGUCAGAAAACAGCAUUCCAGACUUAGCCAAAUUUUCAGCUUUUUCAGCUUUCGCGGGUCCGUUUCACUCCGUUUUCGCUCGUUUGACCUCCGAUUAUUUCAAAUCGAACCGAGAACUCUCCAAACAGUGUUUCGAACAAUGUUUUCAUCAUCUUUUAUCCACGCUAAUGCCGGAUUUAGCUCACGGCCCAACAUAGCCUUUCGGGUUUCGUUUUCGCGCCUACCGCACGAAACGCCCGAAUGCUCCAGAACUUCUCCGAACUUCACCGGGAUCAUUCAAAUGGCUUUCCAACCAAAUGUACACCAUAACUCAUGACUUUAGAAGUUCGGUAUGUUACAUUCUCCCCUCCUUUAAAAGAGUUUUCGUCCGCGAAACUCAAACUGCACCUCAAUUCAGCUCCUCGAGCAAUUGAGAGCACCAAUGCACUUUCCACUUAGGAAUGGCUUUAUACUCUUUAGAACUAUCCAAGAGGCCCACUACGGAGGUACAAUACCAACUCGUACAACUCGCAAGGUGGCAUCUCGCAAAAUGCAUUCACGGUCUCCGUCAUUCUUAGUGUAGUGCAAGUCGAAACUCAACGACUUUACGCGCUCCAACACCAUUUCAUAACCUAGCACGCAAGGCCUUUUCUUUACAUUUACCUUCCCCCUCAGGGUAUUCCGAUUCGAUCACCAUCUUGCUUAAAAGCAAUAUUACCAGUGCAUCGUUUCCUCGCGAGUGUUCCAAUCAUAUCCGGCAUCUUUACUCUAUUGAGAGAUGGCCUACUCCGGCGCACAUCACGAUCAUCACACUCACAAAAGAGCAUUAUCCUCAAGUUUUCCAACCUUCUCCAACAUCCCAGCCUCCUCGCAAAAUUCAUACUCGGGGACCGGUCUUGCCCUACCUGGGACCGUUGCCCGCGGCUGCGCAACCUCCACCUUGGGGCAACCGUCUCUCCCUCUUAGGACCGGUCCUCGAGAGCAUGCUCGCGCAGACCACGUUCGGACCGGUCCCCCCGCCAGGGACUGUCCCCGAGAGCAAAUCUGCCAAGUGCAGACUUGCACCAUUUGCUCUCGUGGACUCCAUUGCAAUGCACUUUUGAUGCCAUUUGACUUUUGGGUUUUUUUUUCUACGAAGCACUCCCACUCGACAAUAGUCGAUCUUGAGCGAAGUUCAACUCUCGUAUUUGAGAUUCACUUCCUUACUCCAACUUUUCCACAGAGUUAUCGGCCAUACCGCCAUCGGUUUCCAUGGUGGUCCAUAGACCGCCAAUUCACAGAAGGCGUACCGCCUAAACCUGUUCAAUCACUCGCGCACACAGACCCAAUCAAUCAUUCUCGGGUGAAAUUGUCACUUGAAAAUUCACACACACUCCAAUCAGGACUAUCCGAGACCCAAUCCGAAUCUAGUCCUUGGUUGGGUCACUACACACUCUGUGUGUCAUCAAUCACAUAAUCUAUCACGUGGCAUUCCACGUUCCCAGGUCCUCAGCUCGGACUACCCGCCCUGACCAAACUCUGCCCCACUACUGGCGCUGCUCCUCACAGCUAACUGCGCCUGCCCAAUGGCCCAGGCUCCACAGUCCACAUACGGUCAGGCACGAGUGUCCUCAAGCAAUACGCCGCUGACGUCCUACACGACAUCUCCAACGAGCUACAACACCGCUAUCGGCUCCUAAGCACCUAGUGCGAGCCAUCAGCCCUGAGUGAUCAUGGCCCGCUUCAAACACUUAGCAAUGCUAAAGUGCUACUACUGCCAACACUCUCUCGGCUGAUUCAAUACCGCACACCACGAGUACCUACAUUCGAGCGCUCUACACAACCCUCUGCUGCAUCCCAACUACGUCAAGCAUUAGCAACUUUCCUAAGCGCACUAACGACACAGCACAACUUACCUACCUCAAUUUGGGUACUACUAGGCCUCACAUCCGCGUACUCGGCCAUUAACCGGCUAUUAUCAGAGUGUUCUACUUUCACUGCUCAGAUCUUCGGCAACGACAUCCGAAAUUCUCGGAGUAACUCGGGUAUCCACUAUCCUAACUCAACUCUCGCAAUCUACUAUCCAUUGCCUUAGAGAGUCGCUCACCCCUUCGCGUUCACAACGAGUCUCACUCUCGUCGCAAGAAUCCUACUAGCCAUUCUGCUAGUACCCAGUUGGCUCUCUACCUGCUCUAGUAGGCGCGCCACAGCUCUCACCGCAUAAGCAUGCUCGGUUAUUAACCUAUACCGCCCCUAUGGGUCCCUACUAUGUAAUGCAUAAUAAGUAGCACCCGACCAUUCAAUAAAAUGCAUGCUUGCAUCAACUAAGACUAUAACAAAGAGCGUAUGCUUGCUUAAUUAACUCAUACCUGCCAUGACGUCAUCAGCAGCGGCAGGUUCCACAACUGGGUCCGUACCCAUGGCCACUUGGCCGCAGUCGCGUGUCUCCCGCCGGAACGCCUCCGGUUGCACCGUCGUCAAUGGUCCGCUCUCCGACCACAUGCACGCAGGUUGCAACACUGCAGCUUGUCCCAACAGAGGAAGUGGCCGUCCGCAGCAUCAAGGCCGCGCUAAUCACCUUGCUGGACACUCGUCCGCGGUAUGGCGCGGCAGCCCCACACUUGAACACUUGCCCUCCACGCUGCUUCAUCUUAACCCGUGCUGGGGUAUGAGUGUCCAUGUGCCCCAGAUUACACUGUCCCCGGGCAUGCCGACAAUUCCGUCGUAUACAAAAGGAUUUCCCGCUGAAUAACAAGCGACAGCUGACCUGUAAACAUAAAUACUACAAACAGUAGUAAUAGAGCUGCUAGAAGAACUAGUAAAAUAAAAGAAACGAGUUCAUAUACUACCACUGAAUCCCAGAGUAACAAACUACUCGCGCUGGCCGAGUUAAAAAUCCUGUAUGUACGCAUUGAACCCAAACCAAAAUCAUCUACCUGCUGCAGUAGGGUUGCCUCUAGCUCUGCUCCUACGGUAGGGCUCUAACUGCGCGACGCCCUUCCAGCCUAGAUUCCUGAUCCAGCAACAGCAGCAGCCGAAGACGGAAGGCUCUGCAAAAACGGGUAACAACUGGGCGUGAGAACUACUGUAGAAACAUAGUCUAGUGUCCCCAAAUGGAUGCCUGCUCCUCACAAUAUCGCCACCCAUAAAGCUAACAGAAGGUAAAAGGCUAGCAGAGAAAAGAUGAAAGAAAUCUAACAGCUACAUAUCGCUACACUAGCAUGAUUACACUAACCAACUGUAGUAAAAGUUACAACUGAACUCAAUUUCACUAGGACUAUGAACACACCCGUCCGGCUGUCGAUCGAACCGUAACUCACUCCUAGGAUACAUGGUGGAGAGAACUCCUCUAGGAAAUGUGACUCACCCAUCCCAGUCCUCAAUGUAGGUCGAACCGUACUCAAGAGUACACCGGCGGAGAGACUCUCUAGAGAUGUGAAUACACCCCGUCUCGUCACUUAGACACAACCGUAUCUCAAGAGAUAACCGUGGAGAAAACUCUUUAAACUGUAUGUACCCCUUCCGCUACAUAGACUACAUCCGUAUCUCAGAGUAACGGUUCCAGAAAAAGGUCCAAACAGGAGCGGCUAAGACUCCCACUCACGAGUCACAACUCAACCUAAAGGUAGGGAAAGUCCGUGUCCUGGGUCCCGGCGGUGUACCAACUGUGGAUUUUCAAGAACUUUCGGUCAAUUACGAGAUCGGUUUUAGAGAACCAAUUUCCUGUAAGAAAUCUGGAUUGAGAUUUUUCUGGUUUUUGAGGUCAAGUAGCUUUGACUCUGACUUUGUGGGACCCUUCGUAGAGUCGGUCAAUGUUCCUGCAUAUCUUAGGGACAGACAUCAGAGUACAUGUGGGUUUUCCGAUCCGAAGCUUCGUCUUAGUGGUGCACAACUCGCUGACGUUCCCUACACCUUCUCUCUCUAUAUUUCUUGGCAUUAACUAUGAUUUGUUGACCUGGCAACCAUAAUGAACUCAAUUGAUGUUACUUAGUUACUUUUACAUUUUGUUAUGAUGAUCAGCAAUAGCAGCGGUUAUUUACUGUAUUUUCGUGAAAAUUUGUGGCAUCUCAUUGUGACCUAGCUGGUCGGCUCCUGUGACUCUCGUUGUUCAAUGACGCCAUUCGAUUGGUAAUAUCCUGAUGGUUUGAUUGUUGGUUACUUGGCCAACGGCUAUUGAUCAUAUUUGCAUUGAUCGCCAUGCUGUACGCAUGUCACGUACACCAAGCGGUUGGCCACGCAANNNNNNNNNNNNNNNNNNNNNNNNNUGGUUUCUCCUCUCGAGGGAGGAUUCACCGAUUGAAGAUAUCUCUUUACAGGGGAGGCGCUAAAUCUAGGAGCUCUCCUACCUGCGAUCAUUCAAAAUGUUGUGCAAAUAGGAGAUAUAACCAAGCAGAUAGCAAACUUUGUUCAAAAGUUUGAUGGAAACUUUAAAUAUUUAACAGACAAAUAUACACUACAAAGGAUAUUUAUAGUGAUUGCUGGGUACUAUUUGAAUUUCAUAUUUCCCUGAAACGAGCCACAGAACUUUCGAAAAUCAGGAUCAACCUACAAAUGCCCUCUUUAAACUACUGAGAAUCAAACCACGAUGAAUUGGACUUGAUAUUCUCUAUAGAUACUUAUAAGAUAUCUUAUUUAUUUUUGAUAAACUCAAUGAUCAAAGAACAUAUAUGGUAUGCAAAACUUUGCAGCGGGGGUGUAUUGUAAAACAAGUGUUCAAAAGACAUGCAAUUAAAUUCCUAAUUUUGCAAUGGUAUUCAAUUUAACUAAUUAUGCAGCUCACAUUUUUUGUAAAGGUCGAGAAGUAUAUAUAUGAUUACAGGUGAUAAGGAAUAAAUAGUUCAAUAUUCCGUCUUCUUGGGUCUUGAACGAAUUUGACUUGUUCGAAUGCAGCAAAUCCGGCUUUGGCGGUUUGCAUUAUGCUCCUACCAAGAGAGAGCGCGGGUUGGGUCUGUAGAAUCUUCUCAGGACUUUUCACGCUUUGAAGGCUUUGAAGGGCCGUGGGUUUUAUUCCAUAUGAGCGGCUUCCUGCCCAGCUAUAAGCUGGCCUGAAGUUUUUCUGAUCUGGCAAUAUAGGCCUGUUAUAAUGGAGAGGAAAUCUUUCGGUAACCAAUGGCAGACUAGUACAGAACUGCUAGCAUUCAGAAGGCAUUAGUUAACCCUCUGUCUCUUACGUCGUUCUUGCUACUUUCUACCUGCCUCAACUAUGGUGGGGACUCUCCAGCUGGGAAGGAAGUGCGAACUCACUGCACACAAUCAGGUAACAAAAUUAUGCGAUAACAUAAGAUUUUUCUAGUUGCUUAUUUUGUCUGGAAUUACUAAAUAAAAAUGGGCUGCAAUGGUAUCCCAUCUAAUCCAACUUUCAUAUGCGCGAGUUUUCUUCUGGACAUCAAUUUUACAUAUUUACAUUAGUUUAUGUCAAACUGUAUACGGGAACCACAUCAGUUAUUUAGGUUGAACAGAAGGGCAAACGGAGCAUAGCCCUCUAGGGUUGUAUUGAUGAUAAAAAUAUGUGAUACAAAUCAUACCUGAUACUAGUAAUAUUUACAAACAGAGAUAUAUUAUAGUCUACGCUUAUUUUAUACGGUAACAUACAAUACUAAUAUAUCUAGUCAUUACUUAAAAUAUAUGACGUAAGUAUCCCCCACAAGCUAAACAUGACUAGCGGAUGCGAGAUUGUUUCGAGAGCAGUAAGGAAACCGAGGAAGGGGGACAAGGUUCAUGGUAGAUAUCAGCAAAUUGCUUAUUAAAAGAUAUCUAACUAAGUUCCAAUCAUAAGCUAAAAUUUUAGUAAGUGUCAGUAUGCCCUAGCAUCUAAAUACUAUCUAGAAACACUAGUAAAUAAAUUCUAGGCUGUAUGCCAUAUAACAAACAUUAUAACUUUUUUAAGCAUAACACCAUUGAUAUUGCUCACAUUUACUUCACAAAGAUUUAAUUUGUUCAUGCCACAACUAUAUUUCAGCUCUAAUAACGCGUUUACAGUAUAUCAAAAUGAAAUAAGAACAUCAUAUUGGAUGACAAACAGAAAGAAUACACAAAUUAAUAUGGCAUCUAACACUCGCUCAGCACCAUAUUCUCGAAUUGAUGAUUUCAAAAAUCAGAGUAAUAUAAACUGAGGUAUAGCUGCCAAUUAAUAUUAUUCAUUUUCACCCCAAGUAAGAAUGGAAGAAGUGGCAGUUACGAGGUCCUGUACUCCGUCAGUACGUGAAUUCCAAGCCCCUGUUCUUUCUCCCAUGCAGUGUAUUUUAGAGUCUAAAUUAUCUACCAUUGCUGCUCAAGACACACCAUUAGAGAUCAUCAGAAUAGAAGUUAAUUAAGAUAAAAAAAACCAACCAAGGUGCACAAGAAUGUACAUAUUUAUAUUAUUGGACGCAGUUGUAAAGACAACAUAGAUUACCUGGAAUUUAUUUAACUCAAAGCUCGAGGCUUGUUCGCACGCCUGAGUUGAAGGUCGAGCACCUCUUCGCAAUUGUAUCAGUUUUCAUCUAACUAGUACAACAUAACUAAAGUUAAUUAUUCAGUAGCAGAGAAUGUAUGCAGCCUGAUUGACAAUAUGAUCAAAAUGACCUAACCUAGUUGUACAUCCCAAGCCCAGGAUCUCUCUCCUCGAUGCGACCAACCAUUUUUUCCGACCCUUUCAAGAAUAGUCCUUCCGGCUUAAAUGCUUCCUCUUUAACUGUUGAAAUGUUGAACCUCAAUUUGUGUCCAGCCGCUAAAGCAAGAGUCUAUUGCCCCUGCAAUUUUAUGAAGAGAGGAAGGAAAAAGAAUGGUAUGAGACCGAUUCGCAUACAUAUAUAAUGUCGGAUGCAAACAGAAGAACAGAAAAGAUAAGGAUGAUGAAACUGGGAUUCAAAUUUUUAUAGCAUGACAAUCGGACUUAUAGCAUUCAUCCAUAUCGCAUUGUCAUUUAUUAUUAAUAUUACAGUUCACAUAGCCUCAAUUGCGACAGAUUCUGCUUCACGCACGCCCCCCCGCCCCCCCCCACCUCAAUUUGUUCACCAACAAGAUGCGUCCGUCGUCGAAGCUCGUCCAGUUCAGUAUUUACUUCUUGCAGGUACAAGAUCUUCAUCUUGCUCGGCUUUUCAGUUGUUUCAAGCCUUCAACCUUACUGCUCCACCUGAACAAAAUUGAGCUCUCACUAAGUAUGCCUUACCUACAAGAGAGUGAGUUUAUGACGUUAUUGAAGAAAAACUUAAAAAGCUUCCUUCGUUUUUAUUUCGCGCAGAUCACUAAUAAACUAUGGAAAUCGAUAGAAAGGUUUAGGUCUCGGUGAUUCAAUCUUUCUGAUGCAGCUAUGUUAAGUGUAACAUUUCUGAAACAGCUGCUGCUCUUUUCGAUCUGGAGUGUUCAUGAGAUUCCACAGCUCCAGCAUAGUACUAUGCAAGAUCUUGAGGCUGCGGACAUUUAAACUUAAGACAAUUGAAAGAUCAAACCAUUUUUCGUGGUAACUCAACUAAAGCUUUACUUUGAUCUCUGAGCUUAAUCUCUACGUAAUUUACUCUAUUGCAGAAGCCAGCCCUUUGGAUAUUCUAAUCUUACUUAGUUCUGUUGACUCCUUUAGCUCCAUUAAGCAGGAAUGUAUGUCGGAAACUGUCUGCCUUGAAAAUCUAUACCAAGAUUACGUCGCAUUAAUAAAUUUAAACUGUUCAGUGAUCGAUCACCGUUCUUAGCGAUCACUCUUGGAGAUAAAAUGAGAUUUGUAAGUCAAAAAACAAUCAAGAAUCAUGUUUUACACUGCUAAAGCAAUGUUUAAGUCUCAAUGCUUUGGUACACCUUCUCCUUUUGAAGACACUGGCAGUUGCUUGUGAAUCCUCAACUUUUCUGUGAUAGAAAUCAGAUUUCAUCAACAACAAUCUUAGGAGUGUUCAGUUGUAGGUCCGAAUUACUCCAAAUGUAGAUAUUGCCUUAAUCUGCUCAAAACUUCGAGAAACUCAGGUUCAUCUUUCAAUCUUUUCUUAUUGGCCCAUCUCUUCAGUUGAGAGUAAUGGACCUUGAGGCUCCUCCUUUAAGCUUCCAGCAUUCUGUGUGGCACUGAGUAAGGCACCCGAAUUUUACUACUAGAAUAAAACUAACCUACAAUUCCCAUUAUAACUUCUAGCAGCGAGUGUUAUUAAUUAAUGAGAACACAACUGAUAGUCUUAGCAGAAACUACUGAAGGAAGAGAGUGUUCACACAGUUCUCUUGCUUAGCAGAAUAAAGAGCUGAACAAACUAACCUGCUUAGAUGAUCACGGAUGCGAAACAUUUUAAACUUCCAAUUUCAGGACAAUAAUUCUUUUGGCUAAAAUUGAUUAAUAAAAAAGAAACAAACCUGGCCCUAAUAUAACCGAGGCAGCGUCACCCAUUUGCCGAACAGAUGGCUGGCAAGCGGGUAUGCUUCAGCAUCAGCAAUGGGCUUGCGCCAGCUGUAGCUCAUGCAGCGAUUGGCAGGUCAACCCUUGAGUCUAUAGGGACCUCAGGGCCACUCUUGUUUCGAGCUUCGAGAAGCAUUUUGUCCCUUUCGUGAGUCGGUUUCAGCCAACUUCAUCCCAUAUCACCUGCACUCAAUAGGUCAUUACAAGACAAAAUUAUAAUGUUCAUACGAUUAUAAGGUUAAUUCUAUCAAACAGAACAAAUGCACAUUAUAAUAGUUUGAAUUUUGUAUCUACAAAAAGCGAGUAUACAUGAAUAACAAUAAUCUAUUGAUAAGAUAAAGCAUCAAUGGGAUUCUCAACGGUUCUCAUUUGUAUAAUUGAGGAAGGAGAAGACUAAGUGAAAAAAGAUAAGAGAAAUAUUGCCAAAAUGAUAACUAAUUUUCAUUAUCCUUUUUGAUUCAUAGACUAGGCAAAAGAAGAGAUGUAACAACCUCCGCCUUGCCACUGAGUACUGCUUAAAUUAAAUAAAAACACACAGUCUAUUCUUGCAAAGAUAAUGUCUACCAUGAAUAUCACAGCAUAAAGAAAAGAGGAAAGUACAAUCUAUACUAAUGCAUCAUAUGCAUACAAUUUCACAGUCAGUAGACAAUUAUAAUAUAAGUUCUAAAACUUUUCGUGCCAAAGCAAAAUGUGAGAGAGGAUAGCCAAAAAAAAUGUAAAUUAUUCUUUCUCAAAGGCAUUACAACAAUUAAUGUACAACAUAACGGUAGAAUGAGAUAGAAGGAAGAGCAAAAGACUAGUAUUAUACUUUCUGAGCAUCAAACAUAUCAAAUGAAGAGAGAAGAGAGAGACUCGGAGAUGAGAGAGGGAGAGAGAGAAGAGAGAUGAGAGAGAGAGAAGAGGGUAUUGAUCGCCAGAAAUAGCAUAUGAUAAGCACAAAACGGUGUUCUCUUCUAUCAAGCAAAAUUCCUGAAAAUAAGAAAUGUGAAAAAUAAGUUGGGUAUUCCUUUUGCUUUUCUUAACUUCCAUUUCCUUCAAUUUACUCCAAGCAAAGAAUAGCUUCUCUCCUCUUUAUUUUUAGCUUUCUUAUCCAAAUAGCCACUUAAGUAAUGUAUUAUCAUUGCAUGCAACUGCAAUUAGAAUAUUGUAUUUGAUGGGUUAGUUAGGGAUAUCCCAGUUCAUGAUCUUAAUUCAGGCAGUGUUGAACUUGUUCUUAUCACACCUUGUAAUCAUGAUAUCUUUGACAAUAACAGAGGAGGAGAAAUGAGAUAUAAUUUGACAUAAUGGAAGAAAUUUCAUAGUUACCUGAAGCUCAUAUAAAAGAGAUCCGCAUGCUCGUCUCCAUUGUCACAAGGCGAUCACUGUGGGGAGAUUAGUCAUCUUGGAGAAAUGUUUUCUCCUGCAAGAUUUAUUCAUGUUAAAACAGCCAUGACCAAGUCACAAAUCCAACUAUCUAAAUAGGUGGGUCACGAACCAUAUAUGAAUCCACAUAGGUGGAUGUGGCUGUCAUUGGCUUGCACCACAUAUAACUAGCAGAAUGAUAAGAGCCAUAAUUAAGCAAUCUACUUAUAGUGAAGUUUAAGUCAGGGUAAGUUAGGUUAGACGCACAUUCUUUAAUAGCGCUACUACAACACAUAAGAUAAACAUAAUACAUUAUACUUUGUGAUGAUUUUAUUUGAAUAUCUUAUUUUUAGAUUAUUUUUUGAAAUUAUAUUACUUGAAACUUUGUGUGUACAUUGUUACAAUGAUCUAAAAUUACGUGAAAAGCCCAUUAAAAGUUCUAUAUAUUAUGUAUGUCUUUUUAUUCUAUUGAUGAAUCUUUUUUCUUUGACUCUCAGAAUGUUUCUGUAUAUUGAUUGAUGAUAGAAUCUACUACUGUUUUUAUUAUUAAACUAUGUGAACCGAUAAGCACCUGACAUUAUCAAAUAAGCCGAAUAGAGCACCUGCAUACCACAUACAGCCAUAUUUCAGCACUGUUGGAAAUAAAUCUUGCUUCUUAAGAAUGUUGAAAUAAGUCUAUUCGUUUUGAGGGUAGAAAGUAUCUAUUUCCACAUAUUUUGUAUUUGAUAAGCAUUAAACAACAAUUUGGAAAGAUUGCAUUGCGUAAGCCAUGUCAAAUAUUAUAGAAGGCUUGGGGUCGAGGCGUGCUAGGUUACGUUAGAACGUAAGAUUGCCCUCAUGUAUAGGGGCGUCGGCAAUUCAUAGUCUAGCGAUACCACUGAACACGACUACUCAUUGUCCACGUCUCCAAGGUAACACUACAUUGAACAAUGAAGCUCUUAGAGAUACAGCAAAUAGAGAUAGAUAGAAGAAUAGUAAUUCAUGAAAUGGUAGUACAAAGCUCAGGACGAUGCGGCACAAUUCUAACCCAUUCUGGAGCUUCUAUUAGUGGUAAAAUGAUUAACUUGAUCUGUUAGGCUGUUUUCAGGUAAACACUCAUUCAUUAUGCAUUUUCAGUUGUUGUGAGUUAUGUGCGUUUUUGGUUUUUGAAUACAUCUUUUUACAAUAUUUGCAUCGAUCUUUUUCACUAGACUUUAUUCUCAGUAACUUCUACUUCUUCAAAACAUUCCCAACCUUAGAUUUUUUUUUUACUCCUUAUCUUUCCUUCUAGUUACUUCAACCCUCGCAAUUUGCGUCUAUUAUCAGUUGUUUUAUUUUUCUUGAGUAUCACAUGGCUGCAUUAGUGCUAAAUACAGAUGCUGAUUGUUGAGAUGAAUUGAAGAUGGUGCAAACUUAGAGAAAGAAUAACUAAAAAAAACAUAUAUAGAAGACAAAUAAGUGCAUAUAAAGAACGGUAUAAUAUGAAAAAUAUAUAAAAAAAUAUAAUUCAUUUCAAAGGACAAUGCAACUGGGACGUAUGCUGAAACUUAACAAAGAAAGAAGUUUCAUACCUGCUGAAUCACUAAAGGAAACUACUCCCAAUGGGCCAUUGUGGAUUCGUUCAAAAGGAAACUUACUUGAUGGUAAGAGCUUUUGGAUUCCAACAUGUAAAUUUGCCAAACAUGUGAAUCGAUGAGCAUUUAACGCAAAACAUUCAAUGUAAAAUCAGACAACGGUGAUGUAUUUGUUAUUUCAUAAACCCCUAUUCAUUACAGAAUGUAUUAUGAUCAAACCAUUUAAAAGUGAAACUCCUGGACGCUACCAUAUUUUGCAUUCAAUUGCAACGAAUAACAAUGUGAAUUUUGCAAGCCAUAGUUCAUAUUCCAUAAAUGGUGAAUUUGCAGCAUAGUUCAUACUCCAAAGAGAUUGAUAGACAAACAACACGUGAAGGAUGAGCGACAAUAAUUUAGUAGCAGAGGCAGUCACGCGCCAGGGCCAUACGAAUUAUGAUUUCUGACAUUCAAUAAUCCAAAUUGCUACUUAAUAGUCUCUAAGAGAAAUUAUGGAUUCCUGCCUGCAUUUUUCAAGUUGUCUCUUUGUUCAAUAAUACCCCUUUACCGUAUUUUAAAUGUGUCUCUGUUGCUGGAAAGAUCAGGAUUCCAGCUGUGUUGUAAGCGAUCCUCAACUUUAAAGAAAUGCGGAAGAUAUAAGAAAAUCUUAACGAAAGAAAGAAAGAUAGUCAAAUAUGAAAAAUUUGGAAUAAAAACUAGAGAAAUACAAAAGUGAAAAUAGCUAUCGUGAUGAUCACAACACAGCACACUUAUUUGCUCCACGACAAAUAAAUUAAACUGAUCAUCGUGCGCUGCCAAGGGAGACAGUAGAAUGCAUAUUCGGAGCCGCAAUAUAAAUAAGAUAAACAUCAACGGAAUGCGCCGGCGGCCUCAGGAGCAGGUAUGAAGGACGAGGACGACGUGCACAGGAGGUGCGAUCUUCUCUGGCGAAGGGAUGUCGCGGAGGGGAGGCGCGCCGCCCUCAGUUCUCGUAAGAGUCCGUGGCGAAUUCCGACCGAUCCGGCCCCGAUCUUCUACCUAAAUCCAUGCAAAGAUCGCACGAGACUCGAAUUAGAAGCCGAAAAACGAGAUCCGGAGGUCUCCGAAGUUUGCUUGCGAUCGGCCUGAUGUAUGUCCUGCCGCUUUGAAAUUACUUGGGUUGUUGUUGCGAAGUGAAACUCGACUGAUGGCGCCACAACGAUGGCAGGUGGUAGGGAGGGGAUGGGAGACGAGUUGGCGGCAGCUCGGCGACUUGCAAGCGUCAAUCACUCACUCGAACAGCAGCUCGACGAAACGAGCGAAGGAUUUGGGAUCCGCCGACUCCAAAGAAGAGAGAUGGGAGAGAUUGGGGAGAGAGAGAGAGAGAAGGGGGGGUUGGGGGGGGGGCGAGAGUUCGCGAUUCAAAUGUGAUUUUGAAAUAGAAGAGGGAUUUUUUAAUAAAAUAAAUAAACGGUAUAUUGGAGAAAUUGCUCCAUAUGCCACGUUCACCACGUCAUAAAUAGACUGAAAUUAUUGUUAUAUUUUUAUUAAAUAAUAAAAAAAAAAAAUUUACCGGACACUGAUAUUUCAUAAUGUUGAUCGGUUCACGAAUGAUGUGGUGAAUCAGGUCCAGGAAAGAGAGAAACCGACAACUGUGGCAUGUUACCGUUGGGCAAUAUUUUAUGCAUUUGUAUCAAAGCAUUUAGUUAAUUUUAAAAAAUUAAAAAAAAAAAGAUCGGAGCAUUAAAUUAUCGUGCCAUGCGCUAAAUUUAGCAGGCCUACGAGAACUUAAAUUUUAAAAAAACUGCUAAAAUUGACGAUAAUUGAAAAAUAAGGACCGAGCUAAAACUCUUGCAAAAGUAGCAUGCACGGUGGAUGGCUGCAAAAAAUUUUUAAAGUUUUUUGUUAUCUUUAAACAUGUUUUUUUAAAAAAAAAAAAUUUAGGCCAUAUUAUUAUGUUGUUCCUCUAUCUUAUAAUUUUUACUACCAUGAUGAUAUGCAUACUUAAAAGUAUAGUAAGAAAGAUAUUUGUAAAAUUUUAAAAUAGUUGGUUGGCUAAAACAUCUCUUUUUAAAAAAAAAAAAUGAAAAAUACGAAAUAAGGUUUNCGAAAUAAGGUUUCUCUCCCAAAAAAAAAAAAAAAAGGAAAAAGAAAAAUACUAAAUAAGGAGGGGAAAGGAUAAUUAAUACCUAGACUAGACUAGAUGUAUAUUUUCGAACCAAUCAAAUUAACUUCUGGGGGAGAAAGUGGCUAUAUCCUAACCCACCAAAUACAAGAGUUGGGCUAAAAUACUCUCAGGGUGCGUUUGGUUCGCAUUAUGAAAGAUUACUAGGAAUAAAAGAUAUCCGAAAAUCUUAUUCCUAUUCAUCCUAUUACUAAGAAUGUAGAAUUCCUGUAUUUGGUUCGCACGGUAAUAUUAAUUAGCCAUAUUAUUUAAUAUUACAAAAAAUAUACAAUUAAUUUAUUUAUUUAUUUAUUUAAUUUUAAAUAAUGUUACCAAAAGUUUAAACAUUUUUUUAGAAAAGAGAGAGAGAGUAUAAGUUAGAGAGAGAGAGCAUAAUUAAAAAAAAAGAAAGAAAAAUAUAGUCGAAAUUAGAGGGAGUGAGAGAGUUGAAAUUUUAGAAAGAGAGAGAGAGAGNUAAAAAAUUAAAAAAAAAAAGAUCGGAGCAUUAAAUUAUCGUGCCAUGCGCUAAAUUUAGCAGGCCUACGAGAACUUAAAUUUUAAAAAAACUGCUAAAAUUGACGAUAAUUGAAAAAUAAGGACCGAGCUAAAACUCUUGCAAAAGUAGCAUGCACGGUGGAUGGCUGCAAAAAAUUUUUAAAAUUUUUGUUAUCUUUAAACACGUUUUUUUAAAAAAGAAAAAAAAUUAGGCCAUAUUAUUAUGUUGUUCCUCUAUCUUAUAAUUUUUACUACCGUGAUGAUAUGCAUCCUUAAAAGUAUAGAAAGAAAGAUAUUUGUAAAAUUUUAAAAUAGAUGGUUGGCUAAAACAUCUCUUUUUUUUUUAAAAAAAAGAAAAAUACGAAAUAAGGUUUCUCUCCCAAAAAAAAAAAAGGAAAAAGAAAAAUACUAAAUAAGGAGGGAAAAGGAUAAUUAAUACCUAGACUAGACUAGACUAGAUGUAUAUUUUCGAACCAAUCAAAUUAACUUCUUGGGAGAAAGUGGCUAUAUCCUAACCCACCAAAUACAAGAGUUGGGCUAGAAUACUCUCAAAAGCACCAUAAAAGUGGUGCUUUUGAAUCUUUAGCCAUUGGAUGGAGAGAUAUAAGGUUGAGAUGAUGAUAGUAGGUAGGUAGAAUAGUGUUUAAUCCAAGGGAUAUUAGUAAUCAAAGAGUAUAUCUAAAGACUAGAAACUUAGAAGCACCAAGGGGUUGGUGCUUCUAAAAAUAUUCUAGCUCAAUUCCCAAAUACAAUUCUUUUUUUCUUUUUUUUUUUGUUCUGUAUCCUAAUAAAAAUUUUCUAGAGAUAAUUUCAAGUAGCUCAAGCUAGAAUUAGAGAUCCGUAUGGGCAUAAAAAAAAAUAAAAAUAAAAAUAAAAAUAAAAAAAGCUAUUCAAUGUGGAGAUGAUGCAUGAACACUAAUAAUUAGACAUCUAACCUGCGAGAGGUUGAUCGUUUCUCUUUGAUAAAAGCCUGCAGCGUCAGGAACCUACUCGAAAAUUAAAUUAGACCCAAAGUUCGAAGAGCGGUGCUAAGCUCACUAAACCGGCCGGCGAGCAUCGCAUAACAGGGGCCGGCGCUCCACUUUAUGGGUGCGUUUGGUUCGCACUAUUUUUUAAAGAUUCCUAAUAAUUCAAUAGGAAUAAAAAAAUAUGACGGUGUUUGGCUAAACGCACUAAGUAAUCUAACUGGUAAUAUUGGAUUCACUUGGGAAUAAGAUUCACCCCAAAGUACUAAUCUCAUUCCCUUGAGGGAGGGUGGGUAUCCUCAUAUUAAUGAAUUGGGAUAAUCAUAAUAUGCCUAAUCUCUUUUUUUCUUCUUACCCGCCGGCUAAUUGGUAUUAUUUUUCUUUACACUCUAACCUUAUAUCUCUUUCUAAAUUUAUUUUUCUCUCUAAAAUUCAACUUUUUUUCUCUCUCUAAACUAAGCUUUCUCUCUCUCUCUCUUUCUAAAAUUUCGAUUUAGAAAAUCAAUUUUGAAAAUCAAUUUUGAAAGGGCAAUUUAGGAGCAGGCUGCUUUGUCUCGCCACUCGAUGGAAAGCUUUCUGCGGUGUCAUCUUCUUAUCGAGAGUGUGCACUUAGUUAGAUUAUAAUAGGAUAUUAAGUGUGUGUUUCACCUCACCUAUCUUUUUCAAAAAUAAUUUAAGGCUCAAAACUAAUUUUCGGAUCAAUAGAGUGUUUGGCAAAUUUAUUUUUAAAAUUUAAUUCUGAAUUUUAGAAUCAAUUUUUUUNGAAUCUAUCUAGAUAAUAUCACACCUAGAGGGUGGUGAAUAGGUGUAUAGCCCAAAAACAUAAAUCUCAAUGCGAUAAAAAAAUAAGUGCGGAAAAUAAAAUAGCACACCGAGAUUUACGUGAAAAAACUCCAAUUUGGAAAAAAACCCACGGGACCAACACGCGAAAAAAUAAUCCACUAAGAAAAAAGAUUAUAAGGUGAUUACCAACUCUACGGAGUCGACCUCUUGUAACCUCCUAUGGAUCUCGCGCAACGCCUUCGGGUUGUCCACGCCCACAUCCGAAUCCACGAACGCCACUCGAAUCCACAAGCCCACGAUCCGAAUCCACGAACCGCCUUUGAUCACGCCAAAUCCACGGCGCCACACAUGAAGAGUAUCAUGUUUCUAUAGUGAUCCUUUACUUAGAGUAUCGAUAAAGAACCAGAGAAGAAUAGCUAAGCAAAACUUAGAUCAAUUCAACAUAUAGAUAUCAAAUUACAAUAUCUAGAAUUGACCUAAAAAGAGGCUAUUUUGUGGAAAAAAAUUUAGGACGAAAAACCUAAUCUCUAGGGUUACUCUUGCAUGUAUUCUCGUGCUGUUAUACGUAUUAGAGAACCCCAAUAGAUUAUUUAUAGGCUUUAGAAUCAAUUAGAGUCGGAUUAGAAGCUUAAUAAGAAAAUUUCACAUUGAGUACUGGUACUCGGGAGUUGGUACCGCUACACUAUGACGAAACGAAAAUUUCCUGAGGUUGAGUACUGGUACUCGGCCGAUGUUAUAUUCGUACUAGAUCCAAAUACCGGUACUCAAUACAAUUAUGAGAAUUGUAUCUUUCGGGUUAUGAGGAACCAAAGUGGGUUACCGGUACACAAUGUAAAACUAAGUUUUUUCAAUACGGUUUUGAGAAACUGGAACCUGAUACCGGUACACAUUAUAAAUGUGACACCCCAAUAAUCCCACAUCGGAUGGGAAUAGGGUUGUCAUUGGGUUUAUAUGAGACUUGGACACUAGUAAUAAUAACUGGGCUUAAGCAUUUUGGGCCGGUUGUUGGACCCAACGAGUUAUUAUUGCUAGUGGGCUGGGUCGUUACAUUUGGUAUCAGAGCCGGUUCACCAGCUGGACAUGUAUGGCGAGUCUCGGCUGAGCCAGGGUCUGGAUGACGGGCUAGCGAGACGAGUCUCACAUCGCCUGGUGUUCUUGGGCUGUGUAUGUGAUUGGACUGACGAGGACGUCAGAGCCUUAACGGGGGGAGUCUGUGACACCCCAAUAAUCCCACAUCGGAUGGGAAUAGGGUUGUCAUUGGGUUUAUAUGAGACUUGGACACUAGUAAUAAUAACUGGGCUUAAGCAUUUUGGGCCGGUUGUUGGACCCAACGAGUUAUUAUUGCUAGUGGGCUGGGUCGUUACAUUUGGUAUCAGAGCCGGUUCACCAGCUGGACAUGUAUGGCGAGUCUCGGCUGAGCCAGGGUCUGGAUGACGGGCUAGCGAGACGAGUCUCACAUCGCCUGGUGUUCUUGGGCUGUGUAUGUGAUUGGACUGACGAGGACGUCAGAGCCUUAACGGGGGGAGUCUGUGACCCCAAUAAUCCCACAUUGGAUGGGAAUAGGGUUGUCAUUGGGUUUAUAUGAGACUUGGACACUAGUAAUAAUAACUGGGCUUAAACAUUUUGGGCCGAUUGUUGGGCCCAACGAGUUAUUAUUGCUAGUGGGCUCGAUCGUUACAAUAAAAUAUUGUUACAUUCAAAUCUAAAGUUCCAAAAACCACUUCUAAACUAUAUUUCAUCAGUUUAUAUGAUUCUAAUGUCGUAAAUAAACAUAAAUCACUAUAAAGAUAUUUAAAAGCUUACCUGAGCAUCGUGAUUUAUACGUUGAGAUGUUUCUGAGUUCUCAGAAUCUCGGAUUCUCCAAUUAUGUCGUAAAUAAACAUAAAUCACUAUAAAGAUAUUUAAAAGCUUACCUGAGCAUCGUGAUUCAUACGUUGAGAUGUUUCUGAGUUCUCAGAAUCUCGGAUUCUCCAAUUUUCGACAAUCACGAAUCGAACCUUUCAAGACUACGACUCAAAUCACGAAACUUGCCAAUACAAAAUCCCUAACAAUCUCCGCAUUUGGCAAUUUCGUGACAAAACCCAAAAUUAGUUCACAAAUGAAAACCGAAAUUCAAUGUCAUCAUCAAAACAUCGAACCUCUCGCAUGUAAGAUCCAAAGUUACAUAUGAUCCAAAAUUACAUAAGAACUCCUAAAACAGACUCUAUGACUUACACACAACUAGAUGUCUAGAACUCUUGCGAUCCCUGCAAAACAAAUUCUCAAAACUAAAGUUAAAAUCAAAAGUUGUCAAACAUCUCCAAGCCUCCAACUCCUUCAUCGUCAAAAAUUCAAUUUCUCCUUUUUUUGUUCAACUCCCUUCUGUCCACCUAUGAUCUCCCUUUUUUUAUCAAAAAUUGCCAAAACAAAAUAUAGAGAAGACCAUACUAGGAAAAUAGUAGCAGUUAUGUCAUAGUUACAGACCAAAACAUAAAGAAAUGACAAGACAACUAAAUGAAACUGCAUCCUAAAAGUUACGACAAGUAAACUAAAUCAGAGAAGAGAAAGCAUCACUCAGUGUCUUCACCAUCGUCAUCAUCUCCUCCUUCAACAUCCUUAGGUGCUCUCGCUGCAGGUGGCUCGACUGGGUGCGAUGAGCUCGAUCCAGCACCGCCUGAAAAGACAUCAUCAUGGCGACAUCCAAGCAUUUCCAAAAUUUUCUUCGCACCAUUUUCCACCUUCUUGAGUCUUUCUUCCAUCUUCUUGAGACCUUCUUUCAUCAACUUGAACCCAUGUCCAACCCGCUUUUUGAUGGAUCGAACCUCAUGGUGGAGUGAUUCAACAGUAAUUACUCUCCCUAAACUAGACGAUCCCUCACGCUCUGCAGGCCGAGCAGCUGAACCAGAGGUAGCAGUCGUAUGUGCUUUUGUCUGUUGGAACGUCUUCAACGUGCUAAUAGACUUGGCCAAUGUCACUCCAUCAAUAGGUCCAAGGCCACAAUCAUACUUGUCAUACGUGACAUCCACUCCACUAGCUUGUAAGAUCCUCGUGAUCAAAAUAGGGAAUGGAAGUAGCUCACGUUGCCCUGAAGUCUGAACGACAUGUACCAUCUCUGCCACAUCAAAAAUGGAAUGUUGAUAUUCAACCCGUCAGCACGCUCCGGGUGGCCAAGAAGGUAGAAGAGAACAAGAUGAUCCCAACGAAUCCUCUUUGUCCCAAUCAUUGGCAACACAUUGUAGCAAAUCACCAAGGACAGAAUAUGAUACUCGGGCUUUAAAUCCUUGGAUUCCACAUACAACCUAUUCGUCAUUUUUCCAGCCUUGCAAAUAGCAUUUAUUACCGUGUUCCAGUGCGACGACUGCUGAAUCAUGCCAUGAGUAUAGUAUAGACCGGAGGUAUCCACAUGUCACGCCCCGCGCCCCGAGCCCGCUACCAAUUUGGUCCGGUUCGGGCGCGGCGAACGGACGCCGAACGGACAGAGUCUCCCCUGUCCGCCCAAGGCUCAAGCGACGAGAUCAUGUACACAAGUUCCCAGGAAAUACACUCGUUUACAUACAUGAUCAUACAAUGAUAGUGAGAGCACAAACAGUGCAAAACAAACAAGAGCAAGCAUCACAAGUAACCAACAUACAAGUGAAUAAAAGAGAGAGAUACUAAUCUAUUACAUCCAUACCAUAAUACAUUUGAUUAACUUACAUUUAAACUUCCAAAAUAUUAAACAUUGAGUUUACAUCAUCCAAAAUACCUCACACCCUAUACAUCAUCUNAGAGAAGCUAGGGUUCCAACAAAACCAUUACUAAGGAAUAAAAACCCAUUUAUAGGGAUUUACCAUGAAAGCUCUCAUGAGCUUACCUCCAAAGCAAGCUCCAAUGGUGGAGAGGAAGAAGAAGAAGAUGCUAAUCCCUCUCUUGAUCUUGUUCUCCACCAAAUCCUCCUCCAAGAUCCACCUUUGUAGAGAGAGAGAGGAGAGCUUGAGAGAGAGAGAGGUAUUCUUUUGGUUGCAAUGUGAGGGAGAAUGAGAGGAAAUGAGCCCCCAACCCUCUCUAUACACUCUGCACAAUUGCACAAAGGCCCCUCAACAAUAUAAGUCACAAAUAGCCCAAACUGGGCCAUUUUCGGGUGCUGGGACCGGUCCCAGGCAGUGAGAGACCGGUCCCCGAAAGUCCAGAAAAAACAGCAUUCCAGACUUAGCCAAAUUUUCAGCUUUUUCAGCUUUCGGGGUCCGUUUUCGCUCCGUUUUCGCCCGUUUGACCUCCGAUUCGUUUCAAAUCGAACCGAGACUCUCCAAACAUGUUUUCGAGCAUGUUUUCAUCAUCUUUUCAUCCACGCUAACGCCGGAUUUAACUCAUGUCCCAACAUAGCCUUUCAGGUUCCGUUUCCACACCUACGCGCACCGAAUCGCCCGAAUGCUCCCGAACUUCACCGGAACCUUUCAAAUGGCUCUCCAACCAAAUGUACACCGUAACUUCAUAAUUUUAGAAGUCCGGUACCUUACACCACAUGCAAUCCAAAUAUGUCUCCAAUCGUGCGGGGAGUGACGAGAAUCUUUGUCUUCCGAACAUGUGUCUCAAAGAUGUAUGUUCCGGUCUCCUGAUCUUCUGCAAGCACCUUUCUGCGCAUGUAAAUUUCCGAAUAAGCUCCACGCAGAAAGUGGAUCAUGCCUGGAUCAUCCCAAUGGGCUCAAUAGGGGCUCUUUGUAGUAACUAUCUAAACUCUGGAACCUCCCUACUGAGCUCAUUAAAGUUCACAUAGCGCUCCGCCAAGCACGUACGGCUAGCAAAAAUCUUCUGCCGCUGUGAUUGUAUUUCCGCGGCGUGCUUAGACCCGCUUUCGCAUUCACAUGUUCCUUAUUCGCGGAUAACCAGUCCGCCUAUGCUUCGUCGUGAAGGACUUGCACAUUUCUUUUUCUUUGAUGUCGCAGGGGCUAUGUCUUUUCCUUUGUCAAUUCUGACCUCAGUUUCCUCUUUUUCCUCGAAAGAACCCUCAUUAUAGUUCGAAUCAAAACUGGGCGUUCCUUCUUCCGUAUGCGUUCUUUUCAUAGCACCGCGUCGGCCUCGUCCACGACCAUGACCACCUUCAGUGGCCAUAAGGACCAAAACAGCUAGCAGAAGCGAAAAAGCCAUUUUCCUACAAAUCAACGAAACAUGCAUCAACAUAAUCACAAGAAAAACUUGUAAAAUAGUGUAAAAAAUUUCUAAACAACAUAGAAUGCAUAAAAAUACUAUUUCUAACAGAUUCAAGUAAUUUGUUUCAUGAAAUAUGGUUUUUCCACAAAAAUCCAAAAAUCCUAUGUUUUAACAUGGAAUUGAUCUUAGUUUGCAACAUAUAUAGCAUUAUCUUCAAAUCUAAGUGUUCAAGAAGCAAGCAUGCAUGUAUCUAAUGUAAAUCAAAGCAAAAAACCACACGAAAUUUCAGCGAAAACGGAGAUCAAUCUUCAACCCAAUAAAUAGUUCGAAAAAUUGAAAAACUAAGGUUUUGAAGAUAAAAGAUGAGAUCCGGAGAUGAAACUUACAAAUCGAUGUAGGAAACACCAAGAUCCGAGCGAGAAUAAUGUUGGAGAAAUUUUAGAGAGAGAAAGAAAGAGUUUUGAUGAAGUAUGGAAGAAAUAAAAAGCUUCAAUACCGGUAUUUAAAAACAGUUCCGCAGACCUAGUAUCGGUACUCGAACCCGCAUACCGGUACGCAAUUCAAAUUUUCGAUUUUAACCAUUUGGGAUCUACAGUACCUCAACUCAGUACCGGUACCUGAUACUAGUACUGGUACCCAGUGCAUGCCCAAAAAAAAUAGUUUUUCACUUCUAAUUAAUUCAAACCAAGCUAAUUUUGCAAAAAUUAUGACUUGUACUCCAAUUAUCAUGAUGAGUACUCGAACCGACCAAAGUGGCGCGGUGCCAGGGGUGACAAGAUCUCACAAAGUUAUCAGUAGUAUCAGACACAAACAGAUGUGGCAACCAAUUUACCGCCUCGAAAAAAAUGUAGAAGGGAUCUUUUCAUAAGCCGCUAAUUUCUAAAUUCAUUGAUUUUCAAGCUAUUCAAGUUCCUUAUUGGAUAGGCGAAAUUGAGUUUCAUCAAACUUUUGAAUUGCAAAAUUUUUAUUUUCUUAACAUGAAGUCAUUAAUUUUGAGUCAUUGUCACGCCCCAACCGCGCGGCCCGAAAACGGUACCAAUUUGGUCCGGUUCGAGGGCGGUGGCGCGACCGCCGAACGGACGGAGUUUCCCCUGUCCGCCCAAGGCUAAGCAACAGAUUGUGUACGACAAGUCCCCAGGAAUACCACUUGAAUACAUACACAAUCAAACAACGAUAAACGAGAGCACAAACAGUACUACAACCAACUAGGGCAAGCGAUACAAGUAAAACCAUACAAGUAUACAAAAGAGAGAAACUUAGCUAUUUGAGACAUCAUUGAAACAUUUAACCUCUUUCGAUUUCAUUUAAACUUUAAGCAUCUAAUACAACUUGCAUUCUUUUUCCAAAAUGAAUAUACAUCAUAAGCUCUCCAAAACCUCACCCUAUACAACAACUACUCUCAAAAUAUAACAAAGUACAGGGUAGAGCUAAUGCAAGUAGGAAAGGUAAAGCUAUCAACCAACUGCUAAGGCGCUAAGCCCUUGCCGCGAUCCNACGGGGCCUUGUACCGGUACAGGCCCUCAAACCGAGCGCAAACCGAGCCUCGGGUUUAUCUGUUUCGCAGAGCUUGUACCGGUACAAGCCAGCCUUGUACCGGUACAGCGCCUGAAGCCUUCGAACCCGAGAGCUGCGCAGCCUGGCUGCGAUGGUUGUACCGGUACAGCCAUCACCCUUGUACCGGUACAGCAGCUCCAGAAUGCUGUUUUUCGAUCUGUUUCGGCUCCGCUUCGCGCCGAUCGAUGUGCAAACCAUUCCAACACCUUUAGAACUCACUUUUUCUCUUUCAAGUGUGUUGGAGCACCGAAUGGAACUUGUCCUAAUCAUUUAAUCGCCCACUUUGGCCUAUUUGGCCAAAGUUAGCCAAUAUCGUCGAAUUUCGAUAUCUUACAGUCAUGAAACUAGCUACCGUCCCCCAAGAAAAUGUAGGGAGCCAACAAAUUUUAAUUAUAUGCAUGAACUAGAAUAGUGCAUGACUUCAACGAGUGAAUAAAAGUUAACUUUGUCAAAAGCCAUCUUCAAAAUCAAUGGAAAGUGUUUGAAGCGCCAGUUUGUUAUGUACUUGAAUGCUCUUUUAAUUACUUUUUUUUAUACAGUAUAAUUAUAUGUGUAUCAACUUACCAUUGUAUUGUACUAUCUGUAGAAAAAUUCAGCUCAUGAAAAGUAUAGGGACAAACCAUUCCCUGCAUAUCAAGACACUAAAUUUCUCUCUAGAAAGACCACUGCCAUGGGUAGGCAUGGGUUUACCAGUAGGAUGUGAAGUGAGAAUGUUCGCAUCACUUCGUCCUCUUCCCUGGGUACUACCCCCAUUUUCUACUCUACCAUUAGCUUUUGGUUGCCUUGUCGAACAACUUUAUAUAUUUUGAUAUUUCCGUAUGGUUAGUAAGGAAUAUUUGAACUUUAAUUAUGUUGUAUUGUAUUGCUUUCGAUUUGAACUUGUUCUUUGCUGGUUUUGGUGCUUGCUACAUGGCGUGGUGUUGUAGGAUUUUGCCGAUUAGCUUCUACAGCACCCCAUAUGGCUCAUUAGUAUUUUAGAUUUUAUAUACUGCAAUAGUAUGGCAGUAUAAGCUUUUGCUAUGUUGCAAUUAUGUUACUCGCUUUUCGCUGUUUUUGGAAAUUAUUUUGGUAUUAUGGUAGCAUUCUCCUUUGUAGUCACUCAGUCUAUACACUCAUACUACUCUUAUUUUUAACCUCUAUGCUCUGAUUCCAGGUUAUUUGCAAUGGUUUUAUUGACAUAUAGUACUGUUGUUUUGUGAUUAUAACAGUGUUGUUAUUACAGCAUGAUAGUGCUCUUACUUCUAUUUUAAAGCUACGUAUUAUUGAUCACACACCUCAUGAAUUUAUUGGAAUUUGUGGUAUAAAUAAUUGGAAAGAAAAUGGCAAUAAUGAUUAACAACUGCAAAGGGUAGGGAGGCAGUACUGUUAAACUAUAAGAAAUUAAGAUCAUAUCUUCUGUCAUGAUUUCGAUUUAUAGAUCCAGAUUGUAGAUGGCGAUUCUUGCUCGUGAUUCAUCCUUAUUCACGAUCUGCAAAAGAGCGAGAUGUUUCAAGUCUAAUUCUCUUAUCGCCGAAAAUGGAGCAAUCACAGGAAUUAGAAUUAAGGUUAGACUCGGACUCAUAUAUAUAUUACAUAUUUAUAUAUAACUUGAUGUAAGGAUGUUAAAUCACGUCCGCCCAUCAAGGACGUGUCCAGAUAUAUCCUAACAGUUAGAUCUACCGUAUCUUUAUAGAUCAAUUUGUAUAGGUGGACUGUUUAUUUAUAAAUCGCCUUAAAUAAAUCACAUGAGACACAUCCAACAUUCUCCUACUUGGUCUAGUGAUAUAUUCAUACUGUAUAGGUGAUACAAAACUUUAUUGGAUACCAACUAAAAUAUAUAGUCGAAAUCUCUCAUUCGACCAAGGAAUCACAAUACCUUGAUCAUAGCAGUUAUGUUCCAAAAGAUAAACACUUCCUUUCAUGUAUUAAAAGCACGUAUUUCUUAAUCAAAUAACUUUAUGAGUUACAACCGUAUGAACUUAUUAUAAGUUCAUCUCAGAGUCUCACUUUAGUGCAUAAUAAUACUUUAAUGUAUAAAAGAUAACUUUAUGCACAUAUUUACAAAAACUAAAAUAUAUUCUUACUCAAAUAAGAAUAGUUUUUAAAGUCUUUAUACAAGAAGAAAAUACUUAAACUAUAAAUGGAUUCAAGAUACCCAUACGAUGAAUAUGAUUCUUGAACUUGUUUGCCAGCAGUGCUUUAGUCAUAGGAUAAGGAAACAUCAUCUCGGUCCCAAUGUGUUGGAUAUUUACCUCUUCUUGUCGUAUUCUUUCACAGUAAGAUACUUUAUAUCGAUCUAUUUGCUGUGAUUUAUAAUUCGACUAUUCUUGGCAAAGAAUAUUGCACCAGAGUUGUCGCAAUAAAUCUCAAUUGGCCUUGAGGUAGAGUCGAUAACUCUUAAACCUAAGAUAAAAUUUCUCAGCCAUAAAGCCUGCGACAAAACCUCAUAGCAAGUGAUUAUCUCUGCCUCCAUAGUGGAUGUAGCAAUUGUAUCUUGCUUAGCACUCCUUCAAGCUAUAGCACCUUGAGUAAGAAAGAACAUACAUCCUGAUGUAGGCUUUCUAGAAUUCACACAUCCAACAAAAUCAUAGUCCAAAUAUCCAACCAUUUCAAGAUGGUCAGAAUGCCUGUAGGUGAGCGUAUAAUUCUUUGUUUUUUAUAAAUAUCUCAUAACUUUCUUUACAGCUUUCCAAUGAUCAAGGCUAAGAUUGCUUUGGUAUCUAUCAAGCAUCCCCACUGCAUGAGCUAUAUCAGGUCUGGUACAAACCUACGCAUACAUCAAGCUCCCUACUGCAGAGGCAUAGGAUAUGCUCUUCACAUUCUCUCAUUCUAAAUCAUUCUGUUGGCACUAUUUCUGAUUGAACAUAUUACCUUUUAUAAUAGGCAUAUUAAAUCUUUUUAAAAAUCUUUCAAUGUAGGCUUUUUAUAAUAGGUGCACCAUUUCUGAGAUAGACCCAAAUACAUCCUGAUCUAUUUUGAUGUAGGCUUUCGUUCAAAGAGUGCAACUUUCGUUCAAGUAGUGCAACUUUCAUCAAAAAAAGUAUAAUUUUUCUCUCAAAGAGUAUAAGUUUCUUCUAAAACAGUGCAACGUUUUUCUAAAACAGUGCAACUUUCUUCUGAAAUAAUACAACUUCAUCAUCUUCUUCUUUUCUCUCUGGUUCUUUAUUUUUUUUGUAGAAAAAAAUAUUUUUAUUUAUAUUUUAUUCUUUAUUCUUUUUAUUUUUUAUUUUCUUCAUCUUUUUUCCUCGGCUCUGUUAUCACCCACACUCACUUAGAUUCCUCCGUCUCCUGCGUAGACAAAAGCAGAGCAAGAGAAUGCGAUGUUGUCGUCGUUACCAUCAUGGAGGGUCGCGGAAGCGGUAAAGGGAGGGUCGAAGAGAAAAAAAAAAAAAUGAGAGAAAAAAGAAGAGAAAGAGGACAUGACAUUGCCAUUUUUACUGUUGUAAAGAGUCAGGGAGGCGGUAGUGAAGAGUCGGAGAGAAAAAAAAAAAAAGAAAAAAAGAGGGUCGCGGUGCGACCUUGGUGGGAUCGAAGGCAAGGAAAGCGGAGUGAGGUUGCACGGGCGAGGGCGAGGGCACGCGGGACAGAGGCGAGGCGGGGGACCUCCACCUCUGCCGCCUUUUUCGGAGAGAGAAAAAAAAAAGAACGAGAGAAAAAAAAAAAGAAGACAGAAAAAGGAAUAAGAGUACUUUGGUCAAUUUUUUUAAAAAUCUGAUCCAAAUCUGCAAAAUCCAAAAAGGUGGCCUAUUUUCGCAAAAGUUCAAAACUAAUGGAUUUUUUAUGCAAAUUGACCUUUUUUACUUUUCUAAUGCUAGAUUUUCAAUGAGGCUAGAUAUGGCACUAGUUCUAGAAAUGUUGGAUUUCUAAUAUAUUAAUGCACUUAUCCCUCCUUGUAAGAUCAAAUAUUAUCUGAAGUCCAUCAUUUGAAAAUCAAAACGGGCUGGGCCAGGCCGGGCGUUUAAGAGUUUGAUUUGAGCCUGGCUAAUUAAUUUCCCUCACCAGGUCCGGGCAUGGGCCAGGACUCACAACCGACAAGCCAAAGCCCGCCCAUUAAGCACCAGUUUUGUGGGGGUGAUCAAGUCGAUGUCUACUCAUGAAAGACAUGUUUCACGAGCAGCCCUAUUAGAUGUAUCAAAUUUUAAAACGCAAAACGAACGACUGUAGUGCCAUAGCAGCUGGAACAAUCAUUAUAAUGAACCGGAUUUUAUAACUGUUUAACAAAGUAUGCAUCUGGGUCGUCGGACUUCGUUUGGAACCUGGCGAUUUGCAUCUACUCAUGCUAUUCCACUAGGCAGAUGAUCAGUUGUUCAGCACUGCGUACUGAAAGAACUGUCAGAUUUUAGGAACUCUGCUGCUUACAGAAAGGUGCCGAAAUUCUGCACUCUUCUGCAGCACAACUUUUGCCAUCUUCAGAAACUCCAGGCCCCUCUAAUCUCAAAAGCUGACAUUCAAACCUGCCCCACACCCAAGGCCGCCAAACUCUUUCCACAAUAACAUGCAUAACUGCUCCAAACCGACACUACCAAUGCUGUUGCUUAUAAUGCAUCACAGAUGGGACCUGAUUGGCAUCACAUAACAAAUAGGAGCACGAUGAGUCCAGCUAUAUUGGGUAGCAAAAUUUCAGUAUAGGAAGGAGACAGCGCCGGAAAAAUAACAAAAUUGUAUUGUACACUCCCAGGUACAAAAUAGAACAGUAACAUCAUCUGGCAAACGCAAAUUGAUAUUCAACGGAAAUAUCAAACAACCAUUCACUACUCAUUUUAGACAGCAUCAAUUAGGUACCAGCUCCCACUAGGCUUUCCUCUCCCACAAGAAGGAAAUGGCCUGUGCUUCUCUCAAUGUACUUGCAAAUGGUAUUCACACUUAAAAAUAGGUGACGAUUGCAAAUGGUAUUCACACUUAAAAAGGAACUAAAUUGACAAUAAAGAGCUACUACGGAAACAAGGACUUUAUAAAGCACAAAUCACAUGGAUAAAAGUUACAUAAAUAGUUCCAAAUAGCCAUUGGUUGUUCAUGCAGUGCAAAGUGCAUUUUAUCUCGAUGCAACAAAUUAGACAGGUACCUGAAUUUACUUUAUUGGGAAAAGAAGGUAAAAAAAAGAAAACAUCCCUCAGAGCAUGCACUCUGCUCUGCUGCUCGAAACCAAGUCCUGGUAAGCAUAAACAGAGGACAAAAGACUGAAAUUUUUCGACCUCAAAAAUUUGCAACCGUCCAAUGCUGGUAUCAUCACCCGCACCAUUUCAGUUUUUUUAAAAUGCAAAGAGAAGAUGCUUCAUUAAGUGGCAGAUUCCUUCGCUAUCUUCUCAGCCUUCGCGAUGACUUCCUCUAUGCCACCAACCAUGUAAAAUGACUGCUCGGGAAGGUCAUCGUACUUCCCAUCCAAAACACCCUGUCAUCACAGAAAGGAAAAAGAAAAGCAUUGAGAGCUAAGUUACACGAACAAGGGACACGGAACAUGCUGUGCCUCAGAUAUGAUGACUCGUCUUACUUUGAAAUAUUAGGACACAAAUACAACAGAGACAAGACCGAUAAAUAUCCUAACUCUUAGGGAAACAUACAUCUGUCAACAAUAUUAUUAUUUUUGCAAUGACAUAACAUUCUCUUUAUUGUUUACCUCACCUGCAGAAAACAAGUGCUCUUUUAUACCGAGUGAUAUACAAUACGAAACAAUAAUUACAUUAAUUAGAAUCCAAAACAUAUCUUCAACUAAAAGAAUUUAGUCAUGCAAUAUAAUUAAGUGCAACAUUCUUGGAUCAUGAGGAAAUUGCGAGGAAACAUGUCCGCAGAGUGUCCACCUAGGAAACAUGUCUUACAUGAGGACAACACAAACAUGGCAACAUUUUUGAGGUGUCCGUGUUUAUUAAAUUGUCAGGAAGAAUCCAAAAGACUGUAGAUUAGUCAGAGUCGUUUGUAAUAAGGGCAGAAAUAUCAAUCAAAAGCAACUUUUUUUUUUGUUUUUUCUUUUAUUUGUCAACCUAGAUUAUCUCUUGUUCUUUUAUACAGUUGAGCAUCACAGCUCCUUCCUAAUAAUACCUUUUAAAGAAAUGAUACUAACAGCCAAAAGUCACCACUGCCAGAUGAAUGAGUAUCUCUAACAAAAAGUUGAACAAUAUUAAAAUUCAGAAUUCAUGAUAAGAAAAUCAUUGAAACCAAUGUAGUACGACACACGAGCAAGAGCAUGAUGAAAGAAAUUAAUUCUAAAUGGAAUAAUCAAACAAGUACAAACACUUCCAAAAGGGCAUCAUAGAGCAGAUCUAUAAAGUUAUGUCACAAAAUUAUAAAGCACAUUCAACUAAUGUAACACUAUCAGAGACAGCAUAAUGAUAGCGGUAUGAAUAAUUAUCCAAGUAAAAACAACAGCAUACAUAGGAUAAAAGUUGUACAAUGAAUUAGAAAUAAAGCUUGUCAUGCGACACAAAAGGCUAAAAGUAGUACAGCUUUUAGAUUCAUCCUCUUCAUCUCUGUUUAAAAUGACAGAUUAAAUACAAAAUCAGCUAUUUUGUAUUCCAAGGCAAACACUAAUUAGCCAAGGAAAAGGUCAUCCUCCUGCUCCCCUUUUAUGCAAUACAUCCUUGGAAAAUGAUGUGACAGAACCCCAAACUAGCUAGAAAUUCGAGCAUGUUUGGUUCAAAAUUGCAAUCAAAAUCGGAAUAGAAAACAGAAUGAACCAGAAUGGAAAACGGAAUGAUGGAAUAUCAAUGUCCAUUGUCUCAAGAAAUUUAUCUCCAAGUAUUUCUUCCAAUGUCAUGUGUUGAUGUGAUCAUUUGACAGAUCAUUUAAAGCAAAGAUUUAAGUGCCCAUCGGUGUGGACCAUAUCCACGAUGUCGUAUCGUGCCAAUAAGAUAUCGACACGAUACAACCCUCAUGUUGAUGGCACAACUCAAAACCCUCUUUUUCUUAAAAGUAUUUUCUCAAUAAAGUUCAAAAAAUUUGAUAAAGAUACAUAACAAGCAAUUCGAAUAUUUUGUUGCUAAAGAAAAAUAUUUUAUGCCAUUAUGUGUCAGCACACAUUUUUUUUGUGACCGGCAUACAUUGGCAUAACCCAGCACGCACCAUAACGCAUCAUGCCAGCAAGUUUUCGGCACAACCUUGUGCCAUGGCACUUAAAUCCUUGAUUUAGAGAUGUACCCAUCAAAAAAAGAGACCGUGUCAUAUAGAUAAUUUUGGAAACAAGAAAGCCAGGAUGAAAUUAUAAGGGUAAGCUAGUAGCAACAACAAAAAUGUAGGCAACACGGGAUUCUAGGACCCAAGAAUUGUCAACCCGUCAUAUUUUGCAUUCUAGUGAAAAGAUGGCUAAAAUAAGCUUUCCAAGAAGGUAUAGAACCACCACCUGACUGCACAAUGUAAACGGAAACAAGAAUACAGCCAGAGACAACAUAGAAUGAUAUCAUGAACUCAACAAAAGUAGCAGAAGCCAUAUAAAAUGGAAUUGAAACAACAUGGUAGUCAAAUAAACAGAAAAUAAAUUGCCGAAGGAAUCAUCCUAUUUGACUUCAAGAAAAGCACAACCACAUUACCGGAUCCCAAAAUUCCAAUAGUCUAAAUCUAUGUUGACCGAUGCUAAAAUCCAAUAAACUGUUAAAAACAAGUAUUCAUCACUUAAUAAGAUUUAUAAGAUCUAAAUCUCUUAUGCCUACAGAAGAUAUUUUGAUUUUUAGUCCGCAUGUCAGAUAACGAGACAGUUAUUUAAUUUACAUCCUAGAACAGCUAAACUCUUCAAAGACCAGAAUUCAAAUAAUAAAUUCUAUACGAACAAAACAAUGUAAUUAUCCAUUCUCUUCUAAUUCUAUCCUCCUUUCUAUCUUAUAAGUUACGUAAUUCAUUCAAAAU